AUACGUGUAUAAAAGGACGAGAAGCACUUACAAUUAUCAUCAGAGCAAACAAGUUCUUAGUCCAGAUCAGAAGACUACAAGCUGAAAUUCGAUCAGUAUCAAUAAUAUCAUUCAACAAAAUACAGUUAUCACAAUGAAGUGCACCUUCGGUUGGAUGAUCAUGGCUGUCUUGGUUACUUUGAUUGCAACACCAGGAUUAUCAGAUCCGGUGCCACAGCCAGAACCUGAACCAAUUUUACCAAUUGUAGGUAUUCUUGCUGCUGCAGGUUCAGUUGCUGGCGGUGCUUCAGCAGCAGCAGGAACAGGUGUAGCUGCAAAUGCAUGUAGUAACGAUUGUUUUCUAAAUAAUUGGCGAGCACGUGAUAAAAAAUGUGGUGGCGGCGGUAGAUAUUCUUAUAAUGCACCUAUUCAGGGAAAAUGUUACUGUUGCAAAUAAGAAUUUUUGAUUAUUUUCCUAGUUUGAUUAAAAUUGAUUUUGAAUAAGUUUCGUUGAAAUGUUAAUUAUUUCUCAGUAAAAGUGUCUUUUCUUCGUGUAAAAUUUACCGAUUGAAUUGUUGCAAUAGUUUUGAAAAAUCAACUUUUUGAAGUUUUGCAAAAGCGACAGAAAUAGGUCCCAUUGAAAGACUUAACAAAACCUAAGAUUGUAUUGAGCCCUAAAUUAUCUCCAAUUACAAAUACCACAAUAAAUUUGACUCUUUUAUAA